UAUGAGGUGUUUGAGAUAUUUCAGAAAGAGAUUAUUGCAGCAAGAGAUCAUUGUUGCAUCCAAGGCAUUGCACAAGAUGAAGCAAUAAAAAUUGUGAGCUUGAGAGGUCGAUCCCAUAGGAUUAGGGAAGUUCGGUGCGACACCACAACCAUGAUAGCUAAUUGUUCAUGCAAGUUAUUUGAGAAAAUUGGAGUCCCGUGCCGACAUAUCAUCCAGGUGUUGAGGGUUGAAAAUCAAAAUGAACUUCCAUCCUACUACAUUAUGAAAAGAUGGGAGAAACGGUGCAAAAGGGAAAAUGUGUAUGAUGAGCAUGGGCAUUUACUAGAAGAGAAGGCAACUGACUCCUUGAAUUCGGCUACUAGGAAGAAGAUUGCGAUUGUGCGCAACAAGUUGGAGGAUCUAAUUCAGAAGGCAAAACAGUCGGAUGAAGGCAUGGACUUUUUAACAUCAAGUGUAUUGAAUAUUGAAGCUCCUCUAGACAAAAUGGUUCCUACAUCAGGUGUGAAGCACACUAGACAACAGGAAUACGAGGCUUUCAUUGGUUGUGAUAUUCCUACUGAAAUUGACAUACACCCACCGACUGAUGUUCGUACGGUGGGAAGAUGCAAACGAAUAAAGAGUGGAAAGGAAACA
rnacentral:rRNA from 1 species